UACAGAGGUCCCAAGCGUUGUUCGGAUUCACUGGGCGUAAAGGGUGCGUAGGCGGUCGGGUAAGUCUGACGUGAAAUCUUCAAGCUCAACUUGGAAACUUCGUCGGAUACUAUUCGGCUAGAGGAAUGGAGGGGAGACUGGAAUACUUGGUGUAGCAGUGAAAUGCGUAGAUAUCAAGUGGAACACCAGUGGCGAAGGCGAGUCUCUGGACAUUUCCUGACGCUGAGGCACGAAAGCCAGGGGAGCAAACGGG
rnacentral:rRNA from 1 species